rnacentral:rRNA from 1 species
UACGUAGGGUGCAAGCGUUGUCCGGAAUUAUUGGGCGUAAAGAGCUCGUAGGCGGCUUGUCACGUCGGAUGUGAAAAUCCAGGGCUCAACCCUGGACCUGCAUUCGAUACGGGCAGGCUAGAAUUCGGUAGGGGAGACUGGAAUUCCUGGUGUAGCGGUGAAAUGCGCAGAUAUCAGGAGGAACACCGAUGGCGAAGGCAGGUCUCUGGGCAUUAACUGACGCUGAGGAGCGAAAGCAUGGGGAGCGAACAGG